UACGGAGGGUGCAAGCGUUAUCCGGAUUUAUUGGGUUUAAAGGGUGCGUAGGCUGUAACAUAAGUCAGUGGUGAAAUACCGGGGCUCAACUCCGGGGCUGCCAUUGAAACUGUGUUACUUGAGUUCAGUGGAAGUAGGCGGAAUGUGUUGUGUAGCGGUGAAAUGCAUAGAUAUAACACAGAACACCGAUCGCGAAGGCAGCUUACUAUACUUGGACUGACGCUGAUGCACGAAAGCGUGGGGAGCGAACAGG
rnacentral:rRNA from 1 species